rnacentral:rRNA from 1 species
ACGAACGCUGGCGGCGUGCUUAACACAUGCAAGUCGAACGAGAAUCUACUGAAAGAGUUUUCGGACGAUGGAAGUAGAGGAAAGUGGCGGACGGGUGAGUAACGCGUGAGGAACCUGCCUUGAAGAGGGGGACAACAGUUGGAAACGACUGCUAAUACCGCAUGAAGCAUAGGGGUCGCAUGAUCUUUAUGCCAAAGAUUUAUCGCUUCAAGAUGGCCUCGCGUCUGAUUAGCUAGUUGGCGGGGUAACGGCCCACCAAGGCGACGAUCAGUAGCCGGACUGAGAGGUUGAACGGCCACAUUGGGACUGAGAUACGGCCCAGACUCCUACGGGAGGCAGCAGUGGGGAAUAUUGGGCAAUGGGCGCAAGCCUGACCCAGCAACGCCGCGUGAAGGAAGAAGGCUUUCGGGUUGUAAACUUCUUUUAAGAGGGAAGAGCAGAAGACGGUACCUCUAGAAUAAGCCACGGCUAACUACGUGCCAGCAGCCGCGGUAAUACGUAGGUGGCAAGCGUUGUCCGGAUUUACUGGGUGUAAAGGGCGUGCAGCCGGGUCUGCAAGUCAGAUGUGAAAUCCAUGGGCUCAACCCAUGAACUGCAUUUGAAACUGUAGAUCUUGAGUGUCGGAGGGGCAAUCGGAAUUCCUAGUGUAGCGGUGAAAUGCGUAGAUAUUAGGAGGAACACCAGUGGCGAAGGCGGAUUGCUGGACGAUAACUGACGGUGAGGCGCGAAAGUGUGGGGAGCAAACAGGAUUAGAUACCCUGGUAGUCCACACUGUAAACGAUGAAUACUAGGUGUGCGGGGACUGACCCCCUGCGUGCCGCAGUAAACACAAUAAGUAUUCCACCUGGGGAGUACGAUCGC